rnacentral:lncRNA from 1 species
CCGCGGCGGCGCGGCCGCUCUGCCCGUCAACACCACGCUGGCCGAGGUGGUCCGGCUGUACCGCUCGAACGCGGCCAGGGCCGGGGGCAGCUGUCAGAAACACCCGGGCCGGCUGCUGCAGCUGUACUGCCGGAUGUGCCGCCAGGCGGGGUGCGGGCAGUGCGUGUCUGAGGAGCACCAGGGCGUCUUCCACUCCAUCAACCUGAUCGACACCGUGUACCAGGAGGAGCAGUUGAACUUCUUCAGCAGUCUAAAAGAAAUGAGAAUCAUAAACGAGAAGCUGAUGAAUGAGAUCUCCAGUCCUGCAAAUGAUGCUGAUACGGUGCUGAAUAAUGAAGCGGAGAUCAUUGCACUGGCAUUUGGAGAAAUUUCCAAAACUCUGGAAAUGAAGAAACAGCAAUUGACAGAAGAUCUUGAAAAUCAAAGACGUAAAAAAGAGAAAGAGUUUCAGAUUUGGAAGAAAAUGAAAGAAACUCACAAGAAAACCAUUGAGAAUCUUUUGAACGAUUGUGAGAAACUAGUUCAUGAAUGCGAUCCUCAGCAAUUCCUGGAGGUGGCCUGUGGCUUGAAUACAAGAAUGAAAACUCAGCUUGACCUGAUGAAUAUAGCAUCUAGCUAUAAAAAGCCACCAGAGAGCACUCAGAAGAAAAUGGAUAUCAAACCUGUGGUUAAUGAAAUCUUGGCUUUGAAGUUAGUGCCACUUAAUGUAGACAUAAAUAAAGACCUACCUGCUGGAGGAAAUGAGAACUCAACAGAAAAUAUCAUGAAACAGUGGCAGGACCAGAAGAAUAUACCCAACUCAUUUCUUCCAGUAGCAGGACAUGAGGAAGCACUGACAGACAGUGGUAGGAUCUGUACUCGCCUAAUGUCAAUAUCAGAAAUGCCAGUGUUUCAAAACUUGAGUCACGAGGAGCUGCGUUACAGAUACUACAUGGAACAUCAGAAUCUUAAUAAGCUCAAGAUACAGACUUUACCUGCAAGUAAAAAGUAUGAGUUUGUGGCUGCUGAGGCUUUGAAGAGUAAGUCCUCAGGAAUUCCUGUUGUAUCUUCAACUACCAAAGCAAAUAACAUGGAUAGAGUAAAAGUGGAAACCCUAUCAAGAGAAGGUGGUAUUGAUAAGACAAGCUUUCCUGGAACUAGUAAUCAUUGCAUCCCAUCUACCAGUACUAAAUUGUCUGAAACAAAUGGUGACUUAAGCUUAGCUCAUGAGAGAAGUUCAGAGGAAGCAACCACUCCAGCCUUACCAGAAAACUCUAAAGACCAAGAAAUUAAAGAAAAUUUGCCAAUGCAGUCAUCAGCAGUUACAAUAUUCAACGAAAUGGACACAAAUUCUAGUGUUUCAUUGGGCUUAAAGCCAGCAGCAUCAGUAGCUGUUACUGUUUCAAAUUCAAAUUUAGAUUUUUCUGCUUAUGGUGCAUGUAGCAACUCAAUACGUAGAUUUAAUAAAGAUGCAGCUACGUGUUCCUUGAAAGACAGUAAAUAUGCUUUCCCUAAAUUUUAUCUAGGAAAAUGUGAUCAUGAAGAUAAAGCAGAUAACCAGUGUGAAAGCAAAUUUAGAAAAUGUAUCUCUGUAGCCAAAACCAGAGUUUCUGAUGCUUCAACCUCUUGUAAUUUAGAAUCAGCAGGAAGUCAAGACANNNNNNNNNNNNNNNNNNNNNNNNNNNNNNNCAAUGGCAAUUCAGAAAGAGAAUGUUUAGCAGCAUCGGAAGUCAGUGAUUCAUUUAAGACUUUGUCAUUACAUUCACUUUUUAACCAGUCUGAGAAGACAUCUGACCUAAAUGUACUAUCUCACAUGGGAAAAAACACAUCUCUAAAGAAAACUGUAGAUGGUACGCUGAAACCAUCUGUCUCAUGGGAACAAAACACUAAUGCCUCAAAGUCCAUCACAACUGUACCUUGUGGUGCUUCAGAAACCACCACUGCAGCUGGAGUGAAUGUUAUCUCUGAGUCCUCCCUUCUCCCCAGCAGUUGUGUAUUUUCCUUCAAAAAUAACAGUUUUCAGUUACUUCCAAAUGAAAUUGCUGGUGAAGAUAUUGUCAAAAAUACCUCUGAUUCACUGACUUCCUCCUCUGUGCUUUUGUCUAGAAAUGGUACUGACAAAACCGAAAAAGAAAAAAUGAAGUCUCUUGGCAAAACACCUCUAAAUCUAGGAAAUUCUGCGUAUCCAGUGCGUGCAGAGCCUGCUUCUAGACUCAGUCAUCGAAAAUGUGAAGGCUCUUCUCUUUGUAUGAACUCAUCUAAGAACACUGGAAGUACAGACAUACUUGCUAAUAUUAAUUCUUCUUGUACUCAGCCUUUAUGUUCAGCAGUCCUUCCUGUUAGCAAUGGGAAUGCAUCUUCCACUCAGCUUACUAUUACUUCAACAAAACAAGAAAUAAAGGUAAAACAUCAGGAAAAUAAAACUACUGCUGAAAGCAACUAUUCCUGUCCCAGGAGGGAAGAAGAAUUUGAGUCUGUGCCGUUUCAGAAUACAGCUUGUUCUGCUCCUGAAGCAUGCAGUGAUUUGCCUUCAGCAGGUUCUGUAUUUGCAGUAAACGAGGCCAGAGAAAUGUCAAGUGACAGCGAUUCUGACACUGAAAAGCUAAGUCAAACAUCAGUGUCUAGUGAUACCAGCAGUGCAUCAGAAUAUUUGACUGUUACAGAAGACAAAGUGUCUGCUAGAAGAAAAUCGGAGACAUGA